UUUACCUUGGCCACCUUUUUACAGUGUCCUCAGCGAUAGAUAACUUAUCACGCCGAGUGGAACCAAGCAUAACACUUAGAGAUCCAGCUAAUAAACAAAGAGGAGCAGGGUGUGAAACUGCAAAGACCUCCAAAACCAAAGUAAGAGACCGAUUGAAUUAACAAAAGGUUUACUUUGAAGAUUUCAUGAUACUCAAACAGGCAUGCUCCAAGGAAUACCAAGGAGCGCAAGGUGCGUUCAAAGAUUCGAUGAUUCACUGAAUUCUGCAAUUCACAUUACUUAUCGCAUUUCGCUGCGUUCUUCAUCGAUGCGAGAGCCAAGAGAUCCGUUGUUGAAACUUAGUAUUAGAUGCGUUACAUCAAUUACAUUCGUUUUAAAUUUAAUAGAGUUUGUAUGUUAAUUGAGUAGACAGCAAAAGCCAAGAGAAGGAGGGAAAAGUUUUGCAAUGAAGCUCCACACUUGCCCAAACUCCAAAAUGACCUUGUAACUGUCUCACAGGUGCACAGGGGUGUGUGGAUGAAAGAGAAGAGUGUGCACAUUGCCAGAAAAAUGGCCAGCUAC
rnacentral:misc_RNA from 1 species